GUUCCCUUGGCUUAGUGGUUAGAGCGUCCGCCUCGGAUGCGGGAGAUAGCUGGUUCUGAACUCCGCCGAGUUAUA